rnacentral:lncRNA from 1 species
UCUGCAGGUAUGAUUGUACUGAGGGUAACAAACCAGUGUGCUGACCAUGUCCUGUCUCCGAUAAAGCUGUGAUUUCUAUUGCAUUUCAGCUGGUCCACCAGAUAACAUCACAGAAAAAGAUUAGGAAGUUCUGGAGGGGACAAUUUUUCGCAGAAAUGGAAAAGACAGCUUGAGGCGAGUAGCCUGGAGCAGAGACAGAGAAACCAAAGCCAGUAGAUGGAAGGCAGAAUUUUCACCUCAGUCUCCACGUAUGUCAAGUUCUGGGAACACCAAGUGGACCCCAAGUUCUUCAUCGCAUGCUCCUGGUAGUUAAGACCGUCCUGGGAAUCAUGAAGACGCUCAUCUUCUUCAUCAAGCACUUCUUAUUUUUCCACAGCGAUCUAAGCCAUCUUUAAGGGAAUUAUGGUGCCAGCUCUCAAGUAUAUUUUGGUUUCUCAAUCCUUUUAUAUGUUAGAAGCUCUUCUGUAGAGAGCGCUCCUGGCUGUGACAUUCCCUGUGCUCUUGGCUGGCCUCAUUUGGAAGCCACACCCCUGUCCUUGCCUGGUGCUGGCCUCCUGCAGUUCUGAGGUCUGCCCUGCCUCCACCACUAGGUACAGUAUAGUAGUUGCCUCAAGGUCAUAGGUUAACUUCUAGAAGCUUUGUUACUUUUCCUUUUACAUUUAGAUCUACAAUUUAUCUAGACUGACUUUUACGUGUUGAGGUAGAGGA